UGCAAGAAGACAAGGUUACCCAGCA
rnacentral:piRNA from 1 species